rnacentral:rRNA from 1 species
UACGUAGGGUGCAAGCGUUGUCCGGAAUCAUUGGGCGUAAAGAGCGCGUAGGCGGUCCGGUAAGUCGGUUGUGAAAACUGGGGGCUCAACCCUCAGAGGCCGACCGAUACUGUCGGGCUAGAGUCCGGAAGAGGCGAGUGGAAUUCCUGGUGUAGCGGUGAAAUGCGCAGGUAUCGGGAGGAACACCAAUUGCGAAGGCAGCUCGCUGGGACGUCACUGACGCUGAGACGCGAAAGCGUGGGGAGCAAACAGG